rnacentral:rRNA from 1 species
CAAUAGCGUAUAUUUAAGUUGUUGCAGUUAAAAAGCUCGUAGUUGGAUUUCGGUUAAGAGCGACCGGUCCGCCGUUUGGUGUGCACUGGUUGGUUUUAACUUCCUGUAGAGGACGUGCUUUGGGUUUAACGACCUGGACUCGGAGUCUACGUGGUUACUUUGAAAAAAUUAGAGUGUUCAAAGCGGGCUUACGCUUGAAUAUUUCAGCAUGGAAUAACACUAUAGGACUCCUGUCCUAUUUCGUUGGUCUCGGGACGGGAGUAAUGAUUAAGAGGAACAGUUGGGGGCAUUCGUAUUUCAUUGUCAGAGGUGAAAUUCUUGGAUUUAUGAAAGACGAACUUCUGCGAAAGCAUUUGCCAAGGAUGUUUUCAUUAA